GUCUGCGCCCAAUCUCGUCUGAUCUCGGAAGCUAAGC
rnacentral:rRNA from 1 species